UCUUCGUUUCCAUCCUCUUCAUCUUUGAAGUUUAUUAAGUGCCCACUCUACAGAGCACAGAGCUAGAUGGUAUCUGGAUAUCUGUUUUCUUUCUAGGGAAUUGCUCUGCUGGUUUUGAAGUGUUCCCUUUCAGGUAACGAGUUACUUUUGAUUAUAGUUUGAGGCCGUCUUCCUGUCAUUCUUUUGUUUUCAGAAUUCUAGUGAGUGAUUCCUGUAAGAAAACAUAACUUAUCUCUCAUUCUUUUGUGUGGUAUAACUUUUUGAGUAUUAACACUCAGAUCUUUUUUUUUUUUCUCUGACAGCUGGCUAACUUCCCCAGACUCUGUGAGGAAACAGAAAGGAUUGUUGCUAACCACAUUCGCGAGCGAGAAGGGAAGACAAAGGACCAGGUACUGCUAUUGAUUGACAUCCAAGUCUCCUACAUCAACACCAACCACGAAGACUUCAUCGGCUUCGCAAAUGCUCAGCAGAGGAGCAGUCAGGUUCACAAGAAAAACACAAUCGGAAAUCAGG